GGCAUGAGAGGGUGGGUUGAUGUGGUAUCGCCGAGGACCAUCUUUCAGGACAGCCUGUUAACUGUCGUGUUGUAAUAAGACACAGUACUCAUGAGAAGACAGCACUUAUGAGAAUUCUUAGGCCAUUAGAUGAGUGAGGCCCAACAGAGAAUCCUGGUCGUUCACAGUCAAAAGUAUUGGUGGAAUAUUCCAGGUGGUAUAUUGGCAAAUACACAGGAGGGAUCUCAAAGACACAAGGUUUUUCCAGUAUGAACCGGGCUUUUAACAGGAAAAAA